rnacentral:rRNA from 1 species
CCUACGGGGGGCAGCAGUAGGGAAUCUUCCACAAUGGGCGAAAGCCUGAUGGAGCAACGCCGCGUGGGUGAAGAAGGUCUUCGGAUCGUAAAACCCUGUUGUUAGAGAAGAAAGUGCGUGAGAGUAACUGUUCACGUUUCGACGGUAUCUAACCAGAAAGCCACGGCUAACUACGUGCCAGCAGCCGCGGUAAUACGUAGGUGGCAAGCGUUAUCCGGAUUUAUUUGGCGUAAAGGGAACGCAGGCGGUCUUUUAAGUCUGAUGUGAAAGCCUUCGGCUUAACCGGAGUAGUGCAUUGGAAACUGGGAGACUUGAGUGCAGAAGAGGCAAGUGGAACUCCAGGUGUAGCGGUGAAAUGCGUAGAUAUAUGGAAGAACACCAGUGGCGAAAGCGGCUCUCUGGUCUGUAACUGACGCUGAGGUUCGAAAGCGUGGGUAGCAAACAGGAUUAGAUACCCCAGUAGUC